GCCCGCGUAGCUCAGUCGGUAGAGCAACGGUUUCGUAAACCGUAGGUCGGUGGUUCGAUU
rnacentral:tRNA from 1 species